UCUUCCUCUUCUCUCCUCUCACGCGCCUCUUCUUCAAAGUCAAACUUUUCCUUUUGAUCCGACCCGAACCCGGCCGACUUGACCCGGAUUUUUCAGCGAGCUCCGACGGUUUUCAAGUGACGGGGUCAGCCCAGAUCGCUUUGUCUCCACCGUGUGCACCUCCCUGCGGUGGUGACAUGCAUCAAUUCGUCUUGUGCUACGCGAAUCGACGACAUGAAGGUGAUCCGACAACCCGGCUGUGACCCGACUCCUAUCUUUGGCAUGUCUGGUGUCGUCCGACCUUGUUGCCAGCCCAGAGUAGCUCGCCACCUCCUCACCUUCAUUCAUAUGGAGAUGGAUUCCUUCAAAUUAACUUCAAAGCAACAUAUUAGAGUAAGAGUUAUUGAUCCCAUUUAGAAACUCAAAUUUGGUGAUGUAGUGGCUUGUAACUCGCCGUGCUUGAUGUGUGCUUUCUCUUUAUUAUGAUGUUGUAAAUGUUAAAAGCUCAGUUUGAGGUGUGAAGUUGCAGAGUUGAAGCUUUCUGUUGAAGUAGCAAUUUGGCUUCGAUUCUGGCGAAUUUGGUUGUAUCUUCAGGUACGUACGUAAUGCUAGCUAUAGUGUGGUUAUAGUAGCUAGUGCCUUUGGUAUCGUGUGUUGAAGACGCAUCGGGAGUAAGAGGGUUACGUGUGCAGGUGGGGUAUUCAGUUUUGCAACAGUAGAGAUUAGAGAAGUUGAUUGAGCUAUAAGAGUGCUUUUAUUUACCCUCAGUUGCUCAAGUUGUGUACGACGAUGUAAAGGUAAUAUUUGAAAUUGAUUUGACUUAUCACGUGUGCAAAUUUAAAUUUUAUUGUUCAAAAUUCGAAGCGUGAUAAAACUAGAUCUCGCUACAACCACCAUCAGAGGAGCACCGGAGCACGACCACUCUCGCUAGAGAAGCAACCCCGUCACGGCACCGUCACCACCAUUGCAAGGAAUGGGGACGCAACACCCAAGCCUAUUAGAUCCAUGAACAUGAACCAGUAUCCAGAUCGGAUCAAGAAAACCCGACCUAGAUUGCAUCACAAAUGCGACGUCGCCAUCCCUUUCGCCACACUCACGGCGCUGACAAUCCGGACGGAUCCGCCCAAUAACCUUCUGCCCAAUAAGUGUAUUCUUAUUUACAUUUUUAAAUUUUGUUGAUCGAUCUAGUUUUCUAGUACAUACCCCAAGUAACCAUCCUUAUAUCAGUAAUACGGGAUAUACGUGUCCAUAUCAAUGAUAUCGAUCGUUAACAUUGUAAUUGAGAAAACAUUUGCUUACGAGGGGCACAUAUCUAGC